rnacentral:lncRNA from 1 species
UUCUGAAGAGAGGUGAUGACUUAAAAAUCAUGCUCAAUAGGAUUACGCUGAGGCCCAACCUAGGGGAGAAUUUUGGAAGAGGACGCUGGGAUCCUGAGGUCCGUGGCAGGGCCACCGUAUUUUGGGCUGGAGACCUCAAGGCCCUGAAGGGCAUCUUGGCAGCCCCCAGCCCUGUCUCUGCACUCCUCCGUGAGGCAGCCCAGGCUCCCUGUGUGGGCUUGGUGUCAGAGUCCCAUUCCCCAGGGGCGGGGCAGGUUGGCGGCUCCUCCCUGAGUCCCCUUUCUCCCUUGUGUCUUUGAGUGACUUCUUCUGCCCAGGUGGGCCCCCUGGCGUUGACCAGCAUAGAUGGUGAGCCUGGAGGAAGACUUGCACUGGGCCUUCUGUGCGCCGGCCAGAGGCCAUCAACCAGGUGCCCAGGUCCUUUUGUACUGAAGCUUGGGCCCUUCCUGGCACCCUGGUCUCCUUCAUGGAGCUGAUGGUGAGCCUGAAGGAAGACUUGCAUCAGGACCAAUGGACCCUGGCAAGUGUCCGUCAGCCAGGUGCUCAGCCCCUGGUGCACUGAAGCUCAGGCCCUUCCUGGCCCCUUGAUCUCCUGCACUGAGCUGUGUGAGCUCUUCUGCCAAGGGGGGGCCUCCUGGCAUUGACCAACAUAGAUGGUGAGCCUGGAGGAAGAUUUGCAUUGGGCCCAAUGGCCCUGGGCCAGUGUCUGUCAGCCAGUUUCCCAGCCCCUGGUGCACUGAAGCUCAGGCCUUUCCUGGCAUCCUGGCCUCCUGCACUGAGCUGUGUGAGUGCUUCUGCCCAGGCAGGCCACUUGGCAUUGACCGGUAUAGAUGGUGAGCCUGGAGGAAGAUGUGUGGGACCCGCAGGCCGAGGGCCAGUGUCUCUCAGCCAGGUGCUCAGCCCCCAGUGGGCUGAAACUCUGACCCUUCCUGGCACCCUGCUCUCCUGCACUGUGCUGUGAUGGUGAGACUUCUGUUGGGCUUGCUUUUCCUGGGCCAGUGUCCAUCAGCCAGGUGCUCAGCCAUCGGUGCGCUGAAGCUCCAGCCCUUCCUGGUGCCCUGAUCUCCUGCACUGAGCUGUGAUGAUGAGCUCUUUCACCUAGGAGGGCCCCUUGGCAUUGACUGGCAUAGAUGGUGACCCUGAAGAAAGACUUCAGUUGGGCCUGAAGGCCCCGGGCCAGUGUCCAUCAUCCAGGUGCUCAGCUCCCAGUGCACUGAAGCUCAGACCCUUCCUGGUUCCCUGGUCUCUUGCACUGAGCUCUGAUGGUGAGACUUGAGGAAGACUUCCACUGGGCCUGCUUUUCCUGAGCCAGUGCCCAUCACCCAGGUGCUCAGUCCCUGGUGCACUGAAGCUCCAGCCCUUCCUGGCGCCCUGGUCUCCUGAACUGAGCUGUGUGAGCUCUUCUGCCAAGCGGUUCCCCUGGCAUUGACCAACAUAGAUGGUGAGCCUGGAGGAAGACUUGCGUUGGGCCCAAAGGCCCUAGACCAGUGUCUGUCAGCCAGGUUCCCAACCCCCGAUGCGCUGAAGCUCAAGCCUUUCCUGGCACCCUGGUCUCCUGCACUGAGCUGUGUGAGCUCUUCUGCCCAGGCGGGCCCCCUGGAAUUGAUGGGUAUAGAUGGUGACCCCGGAGGAAAAUUUGUGUUGGGCCCACUAUCCCUGGGCCAAUGUCAGUCAGCUAGGCACCCAGCCCCCAGUGCGCUGAAGCUCAGGACCUUCCUAGUGCCCUCGGCUCCUGCACUGAGCUCUGAUGGUAAGCCUGGAGGAAGACUUGUGUUGGGCCCACAGGCCCCAGGCCAAUGUCUGUCAGCCAGGUGCUCAGCCUCUGGUGCGCUGAAACUCUGACCCUUCCUGGCACACUGGUCUCCUGCACUGAGCUGGGAUUUUCCACCUAGGAGGUCCACCUGGCAUUGACUGACAUAGAUGGUGAGACUUCUGUCGGCCUCGCUUUUCCUGGGCCAGUGUCCAUCAGCCAGGUGCUCAGCCCCAGUGCACUGAAGCUCCAGCCCUUCCUGGCGCCCUGGACUGAGCUGUGUGAGCUCUUCUGCCAAGGGGGUCCUCCUGGCAUUGACCAACAUAGGUGGUGAGCCUGGAGGAAGACUUGCAUUGGGCCCAAUGGCCCUGGACCAGUGUCUGUCAGCCAGGUUCCCAGCCCCCGAUGCGCUGAAGCUCAAGCCUUUCCUGGCACCCUGGUCUCCUGCACUGAGCUGUGUGAGCUCUUCGGCCCAAGUGGUCCCCCCGGCCUUAAGCGGCAUAGUGAGCUCUUCCAAACAGGUGGGCUCCCUAGCAUUGACCGACAGAGUGAGCUCUGCCACCCAGGACAUCCCCCUGGCAUUGACUGGCAUAGAUGCUGACCCUGGAGGAAGACUUGUGUCGGGCCCCCAGGCCCCAGGCCAGUGUCCAUCAGCCAGGUGCUCAGCUCCCAGUGCGCUGAAGCUCAGACCCUUCCUGGCACCCUGGUGUCCAGCACUGAGCUGUGUGAGCUUUUCCACCCAGGUGGGCCCCCUGGCAUUGACCGACAUAGUGGCAGGGAGAGCCAAGGGUGCCCCACAUUGGUGACGAGUCAGUAUUUUGCAUGGAUCUCAUCACACGUGACCAUGAAGGACGAGCAAGCAUGAGCUGGCACCAGCCACCCCCUUCUCCGCGUGGAGGGUGGUCACAUGUCCUCCACCUGUGCCCCCAGAUGAUGAGACUGGAGGAAGACUUCCAUUGGGCCCACUUUUCCUGGGCCAGUGUCCAUCAGCCAGGUGCUCAGCCCCUGGUGUACUGAAGCUCCAGCCUUUCCUGGUGCCCCAGUCUUCUGCACUAAGCUGUGUGAGCUCUUCCACCCAGGAGGGCCCCUUGGCAUUGACUGGCAUAGAUGGUGAGACGGGAGGAAGACUUGUGUUGGGCCUGCUGUUCCUGGGCCAGUGGCCAUCAGCCUGUUGCCCAGCCCCUGAGGCGCUGAAGCUCAGGCCCUUCCUCACACCCUGGUCUCCUGCACUAGCUGUGUGAGCUCUUCUGCCCAGGUGGGGCCCAUGGCCUUACACGACAUAGGAGCACGCAUUUCUUGAAGUCCUGCAAAGGUGAUGGUGGUCCAGACAGGAGAGGGUUCCUUCAGCCCAACAUAGCGCAGCUCCCAGCUGAAACUCGGAAGGCUGGUCAGGCCUCGAGGACUGCCCAGGCCACAUGAGGGUUUGGUGGCCGGGAGGGCCAAUGAUGCUCUGCGUCUGUGUUGGAUCAGUGUUCUUCAUGGAUUCCAUCACAUGGUGAGCCUUGAGGAAGACUUGUAUUGGGCCCCCACAGGCCCCAGGCCAGUGUCCGUCAGCCUGGUGCUCACCCCCAGUGUGCUGAAGCUCAGACCCUCCGUGGCACCCUGGUCUCCUGCACUGAGCUGUGUGAACUUUUCCUCCCAGAUGGGCCCCCUGGCAUUGACUGGCAUAGAUGGUGAGACCGGAGGAAGACUUGCAUUGGGCCUGUUGUUCCUGGGCCAGUGGCCAUCAGCCUGUUGCCCAGCCCCUGAUGCGCUGAAGCUCGGGCCCUUCCUCGCGCCCUGGUCUCCUGCACUGAGCUGUGUGAGCUCUUCUGCCCAGGUGAGGCCCAUGGCCUUAAGCGGCAUAGAUGGUGAGCCUGGAGGAAGACUUGUAUUGGGACCCUACAGGCCCCAGGCCAGUGUCUGUCAGCCUGGUGCUCAUCCCCCAGUGCGCUGAAGCUCAGACCCUCCCUGGCACCCUGGUCUCCUGCACUGAGCUGUGAUGGUGAGUCUGGAGGAAGACUUGUGUUGGACCCCCACAGGCCCCAGGCCAGUGUCCAUCAGCCUGGUGCUAAUCCCCCAGUGCUCUGGAGUUUGGACCCUCCCUGGCACCCUGGUCUCCUGCACUGAGCUGUGUGAGCUCUUCCACCCGGGCGGGCCCCCGGCAUUGACUGGCAUAGGUGGUGAGCCCGGAGGAGGACUUGCGUUCGGCCCGCUGGUCCCAGUGUGUCCGGAAUUGGUGGGUUCUUGGUCUCACUGACUUCAAGAAUGAAGCUGCGGACCCUCGCUAUGAUGAUAUGGAAGAAAAGCACUCUUUGGCCUGUUGUGACUGGGACAGUUGACAGCACCCAGGUGUCCUUUAAUGAAAAUGCUCUUGACACCAAUGCAUCCUAGCAUCACAGCUUCAGGAAGCCUUCUCAAGUGUGCAUGGGGAGUACUAUGUCUUUCAUCAAUAAUGAAAUCUUCUGAUUUGUAAGACAUGCUGCCAAGAGAUGUGCCAUUCUAUUAUAAAAGAUCAGUAGCUUCCUUUACCGACGUGUAUAUUCUAUCUAGAACAUUGAGCUAUGGAAGACUCCCACCUAAGGGAAUUAGUUUUACACCUUCAGAUAAAGACUGCUGAGAAGAGCACCCUCUGGUGUUGUCACAGAGGCAAGUGCUACCGCACAGGCAUGCUGCAGUGAAUUUAACUGAUCCUCUGUCCCUGCAACCGUUGUUUAAGGAUGCUAUUCUGAAAAGACUGUGGAGGAAGAAAACCCUUUACCCUGUUGUUCAGGGAGAAACUGACACCACUCAACUGCCUGGCACUGAAAAUGUGGCAUCCAGUCCACUUUACCAUCAGUGUUUAAGGAAACCAUCUCUGAUAAGGAUGACUGAGGAAGAGUACUCUUUGGCUUGUUGACACCAGCACAGCUGACACACCCAGAUAUCUGUUUGGUCUCCUGUGAACUUUCAACCAGGAUUUAAGGAUGCCACUCUGGUUAAAAGCUGAAACAACUUCAAGGAAACUUCAGGGAAAAGAGAAGGCCUGGAAUCUGAUCCUCCACUUCAGAGAACAGGGGUGGUGGAGUCUAUGGCCCUUCUCCUUGAAUCUGAGUGAAAUUAGUGAGUCUUUCAAUCCAAAGACUACAGUCAUACCUCAACUAUCUACAGAGGACUGGUUCCAGGACUCCCAUGGAUCCCAAAAUCCAAGGAUGCUUCGAAUCCCUUAUAUAAAAUGGCAUGGUAUUUGCAUAUAACCUACAUGCAUCUUCAAAUAUGUUAAACCAUCUCUAGAUUACUUAUAAUACCAAAUACAAUGUAAUGCUAUGUAAACAGUUGUUACAAUGUAUUGUCAAAGACAAGCUCUCCUUGCCAAUCCCUGACCAAAUGAGAGAUUCAUGAGCAAAAUAAAUAGUUGCUGAUAUUUAAGGCACUAAGUUUGGGGCAAUGUAUUACACAGCAAUAAAUAACUGGAACAGCAUAGUAAAUUCUAGUUAAAAAUACUAAACUACUAAGUUUUAGUUAACAUACAUGCUCAAGUUAAGGGUGUGGUAUACUAACAACUGCAACUUACUUUGAAAAGCAUAAAAAAAGACACUAGAAGAAGACAGGAUGGAUAGAUGGACAAGAUAGAAGACAAUAACAAAUAGAACAAAAUGUUGUGAAAUUAUAUUCUACAAUUAUUUUAAAGUCUGUGUGGUUUGAAAAAUUGUACGAUAAAAUGAAGAGUGAAAUAAAGACAUUUCCAUACAAACAAAAGCUGAAAGAUUUUGUAGCCAGUAGACCUAUACUUUAGAAAUGUUUAAGAAAUUUUUUCAAGUAAAAGGAAAAUAACACCAGCAACAAACUUGGAUCUACAAAAAGGAAUCUCCACAAAGAAAAAUAAAUAAAAAUGGUAAAUAUGAAGGUAAAUAUAAAGGAAUGUUAUUCUUAGUUUUUAAGUUUCUUCGUAAGACAACUGGCCUUUGAAAGAAAUAGUUUCAAACGCUGCUGUGGAAUCUAUAACACAUAUAGAAGUAAAAUGUUAAGAUCAUAAUACCAAAAAGAAUGAGGGAGAGUAAAUGGAUGUAUACUAUUCCAAAAUUCUUACAUUAUACAUUAAGAGGAAUAAUAUUUUUGAAGGUAGAUUGAGGUAAGUUAAAGGUGCAUAUUGUAAAUCCUAGAAGUAUCACUGGGGGGAAAAAAAACAGAGGGACAAGCUAAUAAUGGAGACAAUACAAAAUUCCAAAAAUGCUCCAUUAACCGAAAAGAAGGCAGAAAAGGAAGAAAAGAUUAGACAAAUAGAAAACAAAUAGUGUCUUAAACACAAUUAUAUUGCCAACUGCAAUAAAUGUAAAUGGACUUAAUCAAAAAGCAACGAUCGUAAAAAGUCAAUCUGAAAGCAAGAUGCAACUAUAUGCUAUCUAAAAGAAAGACAUUAAAUGACCAAUAAGCUGAAAAUAAAAACACAGCAAAAUGAUAUAAUGUGCAAAAAUUAAUCAUAAGAAAGGAAUGGAUACACUAAUAUCAAAGUAGACUUUAGAUAAGGAACAUUACCAGCGAUAAACAGAGACAUUUCAUAAUGAUAAAGACAUCAAUUAAUCAAGGAGAUCUAACAGUCCUAAAUGUGAACACACCUAAGGACACAA